UCUUGAGAUUAUAAUUUGCACAGUCAACAAAAAUCACGUGUUUUUAUAACAAUCAUUCCAAUGACGCAUGCGCAUAACAUUUCUAAAUAAUUAAUUGAUCAACUGACGUAUAGCCCAUAAAACUUUGCCAAAACCCUUCGUUAUAUUGAUUUAAUGAUUUUAACUACUUUCGUAAACUAACCAAACAAUCUCAGAUUAUAUGCACUACAUACACCUUGGUGGAAGAACGACUGUGAUGUUGUUGAAAGUCUUUCAACCUAAGAGGCCACUUGAAGGGUAAACAAGAAGCGUGUUCUUCACCAGAAGCAAGUAUGAGGAAAGUAGAAACGCCCACAGAAGCAAGCAUGAAGAAAUUAGAAACGCCCACAGAAGCAAGUAUGAAGAAAAUAGAAACGCCCACCUAAGCAAGCAUGAAGAAAAUAGAAACGCCUACAGAAGCAAGCAUGAAGAAAAUAAAAACGCCCACAAAGUCUACAUAUAGAAAGGAACUCAUGUACACAUCAGGACCACCAAGGUCGACCAAAAAAAGUUCUAUUUCUUUAGUUCUAAAGACAAAUUAAGAACAGUUUUUAACAAUAAGAGUAAAAAAAGAUAAAUAGGUUGUGUGAUUAAUGCUAAGAACGAUGUCUUUAGAACUAGAGAAGAGGAUGGGGACUUCAAGAUCGAUCAAAAAAUAUAAAACCGCAAGCAAUUGAACCAUUAUAGCUGCAGUUUAUUAAUUGUGGAUAUUUAGAAAAGCAGUCACAGACAUUGGUAAAGUUGGCUUUGGACAAUUGCGAGGGUAUUUAAGCUUGGUUUCCAUUAUGGGUUAACGUGGGUUAACGCAAGUUAAUUUCAAUGAGAUAAUUUUCUAACCCACGCUAAUUUAAGUGGAAACAUGUAGAAAAAAAACAGACAACAAAAAUUACCUCACAUUAAACUAUGGGUUAAGGUGAUAUUGGAAUCACCAAAGUUUCAUUCUAAGAUUGCCCCAUGAAUUCGAAAAAGGUCAACAAAUACUGACAAUUUGCAUACAAGGUAUAAAGAGGGAAAUGCGCUUAACAAUUGUAUUUUUUAAAAGAGGGAUAAUAAAAGUUAAUAAUAAGUUUAAAAAUAGUAUAGACUUUAUUAUUUUAUUUAAUUAACGAUAAAACGACGAAAAAGGAUGUCAUUCCUGAAAGAAGUAAAAAAAAAAUUUGUGACUUACGUACCCCGAAAACCAAGCUCUUUGGAGCCAUGAAGUAUGUCACUGGGGAUGUUACUAUGGAACAAAACACAUGGUCUGCUUUGAGGAACACCACUAGAGUAUCAUAUAUGUUUCUGCACACCUGUGCUUUUUAACAACAUGGUAGAAAAUCGAUUCCGCAUAAUUUUUGACAAGAGGGAGUUGGACAAAAACAAAAAGACAUUAAAUUUUGUUGGGAAAAAACUCUUCCAUCCAUAUAAGACAUUAAUGUGGUUCAAGAAUUCAAGAGACCUGAGUUGAACUAACGAAAGAAAGCGAAAAAGAAGACCUGGAAACGAGAUUAUUCUUAAUUAUGUUUUCUUAUUAAACAAAAACUAAUUUCGCGAUACCAAGACAUAAUUACUUCCAGCAAUAGCUGCGUUGUAAUCACACUCACUAAAUAAAUAAGAAACACGUGCGUAGUUUGGAUGAGUAAACAGCGUUAUCAUGUUUCGAUCAUUUGCGUGUUACGAUAAGAGACGUUAACAGAAAAAACAACAUUCUGUCAUUUCCACCAACGAUGUUUCUCUCCACAUAUCAAAUCCUGAAAAUUUAUCUCAUAACUUAGCAAAAUUUUUGUAUGUACAUACUGAAGAUAUAUUAUAAUACCGCCAUUUUUCUUGCUGAAAUUGCUCACCGUAUUUAUUAGUUUUAAAAUAAUGUAUACGCAAAUCAGCCAUUAAAAAUCGCGUUGCUAAGCAACAACAAGGCCUUCUUAACCUCAUAAACGAGAACUUAUUAAAGACAUUGUUAACUAUCAUAGCAACAAUAUAAAAAACGAUUUAUCAUUAUUUUUUAAAAAUCCGGUUUACAAGAAACUUCAGUACUAGAUCAUCUGAGAUUGAAAAACAUAAUUUGAAUUAUCAAGAAAGGUGUAAUGAAGCUGAUGAAGAACUCGCGAAACAUGUUCAAAUAGAAACAAACACACCCAGAUGGAGAACUUGCGAAACAUCGUCAUAUAGAGACAAAUACACCCAGAUGGAGAACUUGCGAAACAUGUUCAAAUAGAGAUAAACACACCCAGAUGAAGAACUUGCGAAACAUCAUCAUAUAGAGACAAAUACACCCAGUUAAAAUUAAAAGGUGAAAAUAUAGUAGCUUCGGA